AGAGACUAAAAGAAAAAAGCAGAAAGAAAAAAUCAAAUAACCUCCAUUUCUAUUUUUCUUUUCGGUUCUGCCAAGUCUCUUCUCCUUCAAUUACUUGCCCUAUGUUCCUUUCCCUGAGUU
rnacentral:ribozyme from 11 species